CCCUUAGAUGUUCUGGGCCGCACGCGCGCUACACUGAUUCAUGCAACGAGUUUUGUCCUUGGCUGAAAGGCCUGGGUAAUCUUUGAACGUGAAUCGUGCUGGGGAUAGAUGAUUGCAAUUAUUCAUCUUCAACGAGGAAUUCCUAGUAAACGCAAGUCAUCAGCUUGCAUUGAUUACGUCCCUGCCCUUUGUACACACCGCCCGUCGCACCUACCGAUUGAAUGAUCCGGUGAAAUCUUCGGAUCUGAGAGAUGUUGGAUUAAUUUCUGACGCCUUUUGGAAAAGUCGCUUAAACCUUAUCAUUUAGAGGAAGGUGAAGUCGUAACA
rnacentral:rRNA from 1 species